GAUAUUAGCCCGUUAAAUCUGUUAAACAAACUCAUGUGUUGAACACAGAAUUUGUACCUCACACAGAGGAACAGGAACACUUGAUCCUUACCAUAACGUGGAAUGAAAAAUGUAUAAUUUUAUGAUCAGUAUCAUCCCAUGCUGUUUGAACUGUAAAGUGUCCCACACAGUGAUAAUGCCGCUACCUACAAUCUUGAUCGAGUCUGUCUUAUGCCUGGGUUCAGCUUUCACAUCCAUAGUUUAGCUGACACUGUUAUGGAUAUACAUGGCUAGUAAUACUAUCUAAAUGAUGUUGUAAGUGUCUUAAGUAGCUGAGGAUGACAGAGUUAAUUUUUGAUUUCGCAGACAAUGAACCCUUUGCACUGGAUACCUGAGGGUUGUUUUUUGUUGUUUUGUUUUGUUUUGUUUUUCAGUCCUUGUUCUUGUUCCAUUCCAGUCUGCUCCUGGAAUAUGGACCAGUGGAAUAUUUACUGUGUGGAAGUAAUGAAUGAAGAUUCCCUUGACCACAUUAUUGCUCACUUAGUUGUGGAAAACUAAAAAUAAUUCUACAUAGAAAGCUACAGUUAAAAGGAAUCCAUAAAAUACCAAGAGAGGUUUACAGAAGAAUACAGAGCAAGUUAUCCUUGAAGCCAUUAAUAGGCACACAGUGGAGUGGUGAUUUUGAACAGCCAGAAUACAUUUAUCAAGGGCAAAUCAAGGCCUGGCCAAGCCAGUUUCCUUCUGCAAUGGGAUGUCUGGUCUGGUGGACAAGGGCUGAAUAGCACUUGUUGUUUACUGUGACUUUAGCAAAACCUUUGACACAGCCUCCCUUAGUAUACUGGUAACCACACUGGUGAGACAUGGGCUGGAAAAGCAAACUAUAAGUUGUAUAGAAAACAGGAAGACCUGAAGUUGUGAUCAUCAGUUCAAAACCCAGCUAGUGGCCAGCUGGUAGUGAUGUUCUUUAGAGGUCAAUACUGAAGGUGAUACUGGUUAACGUAUUCACUAAAGGUUUGGACAGUGGGCCUGGAAGUGUUCUCAGAAAGUUCAUGUAUGAUACCAAACUGAGGAAAGGAACAGUUCAUAUGCUGGAGAGCAGAAUUACUGAGGGGCUUUGAAAAGGAUGGA
rnacentral:lncRNA from 1 species